GAUGAACGCUGGCGGCGUGCUUAACACAUGCAAGUCGAACGAAGCACUUUAUUUGAUUUCCUUCGGGACUGAUUAUUUUGUGACUGAGUGGCGGACGGGUGAGUAACGCGUGGGUAACCUGCCUUGUACAGGGGGAUAACAGUUGGAAACGGCUGCUAAUACCGCAUAAGCGCACAGCAUCGCAUGAUGCAGUGUGAAAAACUCCGGUGGUAUAAGAUGGACCCGCGUUGGAUUAGCUAGUUGGUGAGGUAACGGCCCACCAAGGCGACGAUCCAUAGCCGACCUGAGAGGGUGCCCGGCCACAUUGGGACUGCGCCACGGCCCAAACUCCUACGGGAGGCAGCAGUGGGGAAUAUUGCACAAUGGGCGAAAGCCUGAUGCAGCGACGCCGCGUGAGCGAAGAAGUAUUUCGGUAUGUAAAGCUCUAUCAGCAGGGAAGAUAAUGACGGUACCUGACUAAGAAGCACCGGCUAAAUACGUG
rnacentral:rRNA from 1 species